UCAAGAGUUUAAUCAAGUACAAUAAUGAUUGAAUGACAAAUUAUAUUGAUCCAAAAGAUAACAAAGCAACCACAACAAUUAAGCUUUUAUUCAAUGAAAAAGACAAUGAUCUCUAUAGUAAGGAUAAACAGCAUAAGUAACUCUAGUGACAUGAUCAGUUGGAUGACUCUUAAUGGUCUUUUGUCACAUUGCCUAAAAAAUCUACCUUUGGAGUAGUAGUUGGAAUGAGGGGUGGUGUCGCUUGAGAUGGAGUCAUUUUACGGCUUGGUGGAGUGUCACCAGAUGGUUCUUGUGCAGUUGAUUUAACAACUUGAGUCACAACAUCUUCAUAUGUUGGAAAUGGUGUGAGGUCAUCAAGAGAAAAGAUAAGGUUUUGUGAUGGUUUUCGCUGGUGGCGAGGACCUUUGUGAGACAUGUUUGGGUAAAUGCAGAGACAGAGAGAGAAAGAUAGAAAAAACAAGAGAUUUAGCUUUCAAGCUAUGGUGCUCUAAGCAUGUUUGAGUUCUACACUCUUUA
rnacentral:lncRNA from 1 species